CAUUGCACACACACAUUUGCGUUGCAAGCCAACCCCUUUGCGAAUCUUACCACUGUCUUGGCCGCGGUUCUUCCCUCUCCUUCCUUCCUUCCUUGGUUGGUUGGGGGGUGGUGGAGGGCCAAGCCCAAGUCCCCGUCCUGCCCCCCAGACCCGUCGAGGGGACGCCCCUCCGCGUCUGGCAGGCCGGUCGGGUGACUUGGUGAUGGCGCAAUGCAUCAACACUAAACCCAUAUGACUGAGUAUGAAAACCGACGACGACGCCGGGCGGCGAGCCGCCGCCCGGUGUGAGUUGUUGUUGUGAUAAACAAAACAACUCUCAGCAACGGAUAUCUUGGCUCCUGCAACGAUGAAGAACGCAGCGAAAUGCGAUACGUAGUGUGAAUUGCAGAAUUCCGCGAAUCAUCGAGUCUUUGAACGCAAGUUGCGCCCGAGGCUUGCCCUCGGGCAUUUCUGUCAGAGCGUCACCGCGACACCCACCGACCACUCGUGGAGGGAGGGGGCCGAGUGAAAUUGGCCGUCCCAGUGGAUGGGGGCGCACCACAACGCGUCCCCCAAUGCCUGGGUUGGCUGAAAUGGAGGGAAUUUGGCCGCCGUGGCGACACGACCCGCGAUCAGGUGAUGAUCCCAAGUCUCGUUCUUGGAUCUCAAUGCGUGCUGGCCGUGUCGUCCCCGCUUCCAAAUUUAGCAGGUCGGGGCCACCACCACAAAGGGGGAAUUCUAACGUCACGCACCGGA
rnacentral:sRNA from 1 species